AGCAAUGUGGCCCAGUGGAAAGAGCAUGGGCCUCGAAGUCAGAGAGCCUGGGUUCUAAUCCCAGCUCUGCCA
rnacentral:tRNA from 1 species